rnacentral:lncRNA from 1 species
CGUGCCUCUGGUGUUCAUGCCCCUGUGGCAUUCCCUUCCCUUGAUGGAGGUGAGUCCGUUGACUUACUUCUAACCAAGAGAAUAUGUUAAAGCUAAUGCGUUGUCACCCCUCUGAUUGCAUUACUUUAUGUGGUGAAGGUGAUGUCACUCCCCCAAUUAAAUUAUAGAAGACUCUAUGUCCCUAGAAGACUGUCUUGCUCUCUCCAGGGCUGUCUUGAAGCAUCAAGCUGUUGUGAAUUUUGCCGCCACAAGGAAAUCAAUUCUGCCAUCAACCUGAGGGAACUUGGAAGGAAAACCUUCUCCAGUUGAGCCUGCAGAUGAGAACCCACCUCCGACUGACAUGCCAAUUUCAGCUUUGCAGAGAUAUACCCUUCUUGGCCUCCCGACUUUCAGAAGAUGUGCAAUAAAUGUGGGCCAUUUGACUGUGGAGUUUCCUAUCGUCUGAACCUUGCUGAUCCCAAGCUCUCCUGUGCAGCCCAGCAUGGUCCCCUGCCCUUGGUAUUUCCUGUAAACUGCCAGUUGCCUCCAGAGAUUAGAUCUGAUUCACCUUCUCUUCAAGACUCUAGCAAGACUAAGGAAGGAGGAUCUUCCUUGGUUCUUUGA